GAGGAAUAUUGGUCAAUGGGCGAGAGCCUGAACCAGCCAAGUCGCGUGAAGGAAGACGGUCCUACGGAUUGUAAACUUCUUUUAUACAGGGGUAAAACAGGGGACGUGUCCCCUCUUGCAAGUACUGUAUGAAUAAGCAUCGGCUAACUCCGUGCCAGCAGCCGCGGUAAUACGGAGGAUGCGAGCGUUAUCCGGAUUUAUUGGGUUUAAAGGGUGCGCAGGCGGGCUAUUAAGUCAGUGGUGAAAUCUCGGGGCUCAACCCCGGAACUGCCAUUGAAACUGGAAGCCUUGGGUAUGGAUGAAGUAGGCGGAACUCGUUGUGUAGCGGUGACAUGCAUAGAUAUAACGAAGAACCCCGAUUGCGUAGGCAGCUUACUAAGCCAUAACUGACGCUCAAGCACGAAAGCGUGGGGAUCAAAC
rnacentral:rRNA from 1 species